rnacentral:rRNA from 1 species
UACGUAGGUGACAAGCGUUGUCCGGAUUUACUGGGCGUAAAGAGCGCGCAGGCGGUCGUUCAAGUCGAGUGUGAAAGCCCCCGGCUCAACUGGGGAGGGUCAUUCGAUACUGAUCGACUCGAAGGCAGAAGAGGGAAGCGGAAUUCCCGGUGUAGUGGUGAAAUGCGUAGAUAUCGGGAGGAACACCAGUGGCGAAGGCGGCUUUCUGGUCUGCUCUUGACGCUGAGGCGCGAAAGCUAGGGUAGCAAACGGGG